rnacentral:rRNA from 1 species
UACGAGGGGUGCAAGCGUUAAUCGGAAUUACUGGGCGUAAAGCGCGCGUAGGCGGCUUGAUAAGUCGGAUGUGAAAGCCCUGGGCUCAACCUGGGAACUGCAUUUGUGACUGCAUUGCUGGAGUGCGGCAGAGGGGGAUGGAAUUCCGCGUGUAGCAGUGAAAUGCGUAGAUAUGCGGAGGAACACCGAUGGCGAAGGCAAUCCCCUGGGCCUGCACUGACGCUCAUGCACGAAAGCGUGGGGAGCAAACAGGAUUAGAAC